AUAUGAGAUAGAGGUCGCGGUUUUUAUUAGUAGGGCUUUUUCUGAAAGGAACAACCGCCGAAAUGCUGUCUAUGGCGUUGGGACUAUGUUGAAUAAGCAUAGUACUGUCGAAAAAGAAAAAUUUAUGUCCUUUUCUUUUUUGAAGUGCUUCUCAUAU
rnacentral:ncRNA from 2 species